AAGCGUAGGGUGGAUACCUAGGCAUCUAGAGACGAUGAAGGGCGUGGAACCGACGAUACACUUCGGCGAAUUGGAAACAAGUAAUGACCCGAAGAUUCCCGAAUAGGGCAACCUUUUAAACUAUUUGCUAAAUUCAUAAGCAAAUUAGAGAUAACUCAGUGAACUGAAACAUCUUAGUAACUGAAGGAAAAGAAAGCAAAAGCGAUUUCCUUAGUAGUGGUGAGCGAAAAGGAAACAGCCUAAACCAAUUAAUUAAUAUUGGGGUUGUGGGAUAAUUUAUUUUAAAAAUUAAUAAAAGGUUAUUAUAUGAAACAGCCGAAUACUGUACCAUAGAUGGUGAAAGUCCAGUAAUUUAAAAUUUCCUAUUAAUUUAAAAUUAUCCCGAGUAGUAUGGGACACGUGAAAUCCCGUAUGAAUCAGCGAGGACCACCUCGUAAGGCUAAAUACUCCUAGAUGACCGAUAGUGAAAUAGUACCGUGAGGGAAAGGUGAAAAGAACCCCGGAAGGGGAGUGAAAAAGAACAUGAAACCCUAUGCUGACAAACAGUGGGAGGUUAUAAAGUAACUGACCGCGUGCCUGUUGAAGAAUGAGCCGGCGACUUAGAAAAUAUGGCUUGGUUAAGAAUUUUUUCGGAGCCAUAGCGAAAGCAAGUCUGAAGAGGGCGUUUUUAAAGUUAUUUAUAUAGAAGUAGAAAUAAGUCAUAUUUUCUAGACCCGAACCCGAGUGAUCUAACCAUGGUCAGGAUGAAAGUUGGGUGAAACCAAGUGGAGGUCCGAACCGACCAAUGUUGCAAAAUUGGCGGAUGAACUGUGGUUAGCGGUGAAAUACCAGUCGAACUCGGAGCUAGCUGGUUCUCCCCGAAAUGUGUUGAGGCGCAGCGUUAUAUUAAGUUUAUCUAGGGGUAAAGCACUGCUAUGGUGCGGGCUGCGAGAGCGGUACCAAAUCGUGGCAAACUCUGAAUACUAGAAAUUACAAUAUAAUAGUGAGACUAUGGGGGAUAAGCUCCAUUGUCGAGAGGGAAACAGCCCAGACCACCAGCUAAGGCCCCAAAAUGAUAGUGUAGUGAUAAAGGAGGUGAAAAUGCAAAUACAACCAGGAGGUUGGCUUAGAAGCAGCCAUCCUUUAAAGAGUGCGUAAUAGCCCACUGGUGUUAGCGUUUUUGCGCCGAAAAUGUCCGGGGCUUAAUUAUCUGCCGAAGCUGUGGGAUAUUUUUGUUUUAUAGAGGUUAUUUUUUAAUAACCAAUUUAAGUAUUAGUCUUAAUUUACAAGACUUUCCAAAUGCUGCUCACAACAUCUCAAAUUAUUAAUACUUUGUUAUAUUCAAAUUGUCUGUAGUUUUAUAAACAAAACUACUUUUAAACAAAAAUAUCGGUAGGGGAGCGUUCUGCUUGGGGAGAAGUUUUAAUGAAAAUUUUAAUGGACUGGGCAGAAGUGAGAAUGUCGGCUUGAGUAACGCAAACAUUGGUGAGAAUCCAAUGCCCCGAAAACCCAAGGAUUCCUUCACAAGGUUCGUCCAUGAAGGGUGAGUCAGGACCUAAGGCGAGGCCGAAGGGCGUAGUCGAUGGAAAACAGGUUAAUAUUCCUGUACUAUUUUGUAUUUGAUACCAGGGGACAGAAGAGGUAGCAAUUUGCUGUUAUUGGAUUUCAGUGUAAGCUUAAAAGGUUUAAGAAAGAAAAAAAACUUUCUAUAAAUUAACUAAUUAGUAAUACAUUUAUGUUAUAUAAAUAAAUUUUCUAUCAUAUUCUCAAGAAAAGCCUGUAUUAUCAAUAAAUACAAAAUACCUGUACCUUAAACCGACACAGGUGGGUUAGUAGAGUAUACUAAGGGGCGCGAGAUAACUCUCUCUAAGGAACUCGGCAAAAUGGCCCCGUAACUUCGGGAGAAGGGGUACCAGGGAAUGAUUUUUCAUUUUUUGGUCGCAGUGACCAGGCCCAGGCGACUGUUUAUCAAAAACACAGGUCUCCGCAAAGUCGUAAGACAACGUAUGGGGGCUGACGCCUGCCCAGUGCCGGAAGGUUAAAGAAAUAGGUUAUUCUUUUUAAGAAGAAGCUUGUAACUGAAGCCCCGGUGAACGGCGGCCGUAACUAUAACGGUCCUAAGGUAGCGAAAUUCCUUGUCGGAUAAGUCCCGACCCGCACGAAAGGCGUAACGAUCUGGGCGCUGUCUCGGAGAGAGACUCGGUGAAAUAGAAAUGUCUGUGAAGAUGCGGACUACCUGCACCUGGACAGAAAGACCCUAUGAAGCUUUACUGCAAUCUGAAAUUGAUUUGGAGUUUUUUUUGCGCAGUCUAGGUGGGAGGCGUGAAACCUUUUCUUUUGGGAAAAGUGUAGCCAAAAAGUGAGAGACCACUCUAAAAAAACUAUGAGUCUAAUAGCGUCCCUUGAAGCAGGGCGCUUGACAGUUUCAGAUGGGCAGUUUGACUGGGGCGGUCAUCUCUUAAAAGGUAACAGAGAUGUGCAAAGGUUCCUUCAGGCUGGACGGAAACCAGCUGUUGAGUGUAAAGGCAUAAGGGAGCUUGACUGUAAGACUUACAAGUCGAGCAGAGGCGAAAGCCGGCCUUAGUGAUCCGACAGUUCCGUGUGGAAGGGCUGUCGCUAAACGGAUAAAAGUUACUCUAGGGAUAACAGGCUGAUCUUCCCCAAGAGUUCACAUCGACGGGAAGGUUUGGCACCUCGAUGUCGGCUCAUCGCAACCUGGGGCGGUAGUACGUCCCAAGGGUUGGGCUGUUCGCCCAUUAAAGCGGUACGUGAGCUGGGUUCAGAACGUCGUGAGACAGUUUGGUCCAUAUCCGGUGUAGGCGUUAGAGUAUUGAGAGGAUUUUUCUAUAGUACGAGAGGACCUAGAAGGACAUACCUCUAGUAUACCAGUUCUUAUGCCAAUAGGAAACGCUGGGUAGCUAUGUAUGGAGAAGAUAACCGCUGAAAGCAUCUAAGUGGGAAGCUCACCUCAAGAUGAGUACUCUCUUUUUUUAGUUUUUAACUAAAAAAAAUCGGUCCCGGUAAGACUAACCGUUUGAUAGGUAUUAGGUGCAUAUCCAGUAAUGGAAGUAGCUGAAAUAUACUAAAAGACCGAGCGUUUUUGACCA
rnacentral:rRNA from 1 species